CCUGUUCCUCUCUUCCUUGUUGAGGUUUGCUUUAAUACCUAAGUCACCCUAGGCUUCUACCAUUCUAAGACAUGAAGACCAUCUAUUACUCCAUUUUUAUAUGGCUAGUUCUUCCCCCAAAGAAUUCCAAACAUCUUUUAAAAGAAAUCCUCAGAUCCUGACCCACUCUUUCAACAUAGUCUCCUCCAUAAACUUGCCAAACAUCAGGGUGUCCAGAUAUCUUCUGUUCCCCAUCAGCAAAUGCAGGCUUCCCUAUUUCCCAAGACACAACAACGUUGAAAUCCAGCCAAUAUAUAACCCUAUAAUGGCCUCUAAGUGUGGAAGUG